UACGGAGGGGGCAAGCGUUGUUCGGAAUUACUGGGCGUAAAGGGCUCGUAGGCGGCCAACUAAGUCAGACGUGAAAUCCCUCGGCUUAACCGGGGAACUGCGUCUGAUACUGGAUGGCUUGAGAUUGGGAGAGGGAUGCGGAAUUCCGCGUGUAGCAGUGAAAUGCGUAGAUAUGCGGAGGAACACCGAUGGCGAAGGCAAUCCCCCUGGGCCUGCACUGACGCUCAUGCACGAAAGCGUGGGGAGCAAACAGG
rnacentral:rRNA from 1 species